UUCGGCGCGUGGCCUUCUCAACUUCCUCCUCUCUCUCUCUUAACCUUCUCGCUACCGAUUCCUCUACUGCAUCCAGAAGUGCACGGUAGUGUCUCUGUCUUUUAUCUGCCAAGCGGUUGAUUCUGUUGAUGAUUACCGGAGGACAAGCGGAGACCGGUGGAGACGACAUUGUUUUGGUGAUUGUGAAGGUUGGCGAGAUCAACAAGAAGAGGAGGACGAGGCUGCUGUAUCGCAGAGAGAUCGAUUGGAGUCGCGAAGGUUGCUGUGGAAGUCGCCAUUUCUCUUGCUCUCUUCCGAGAAUUGUUUCCUGCUUUCAUCACAAACCAGACUGAUGAAUCGAAUCCUCAAAGGUACGUCGUCUUCACAACUCAAUUGAUAGAAAUACUUGUAGCGUUUAUAAACAGAAUAGAUCAAACACAAUGCACAAGAAUCUCACCUAUAUUGUUGUUGAACACCAUAUGAGUCUGGUCAAGAAAACCUCCUGGUUGUAUCUGCAAUGAAUAA